rnacentral:rRNA from 1 species
AUUGAACGCUGGCGGAAUGCUUUACACAUGCAAGUCGAACGGCAGCACGGACUUCGGUCUGGUGGCGAGUAGCGAACGGGUGAGUAAUGUAUCGGGACGUGCCCAGUCGUGGGGGAUAACGUAGUGAAAAUUACGCUAAUACCGCAUACGAUCUAUGGAUGAAAGCGGGGGAUCGCAAGACCUCGCGCGAUUGGGGCGGCCGAUAUCAGAUUAGGUAGUUGGUGGGGUAAAGGCCCACCAAGCCAACGAUCUGUAGCUGGUCUGAGAGGACGACCAGCCACACUGGAACUGAGACACGGUCCAGACUCCUACGGGAGGCAGCAGUGGGGAAUUUUGGACAAUGGGCGAAAGCCUGAUCCAGCCAUUCCGCGUGCAGGAUGAAGGCCCUCGGGUUGUAAACUGCUUUUGUACAGAACGAAAAGGUUUCUACUAAUACUAGGAGCUCAUGACGGUACUGUAAGAAUAAGCACCGGCUAACUACGUGCCAGCCGCCGCGGUAA